rnacentral:rRNA from 1 species
UACGGAAUGUGCAAACGUUAUUCGGAAUCACUGGGCUUAAAGAGUCCGUAGGCGGCAUGUUAGGUGAGGUGUGAAAUCCCCCGGCUCAACCGAGGAAUUGCGCUUCAAACCGGCGUGCUUGAGGAAGAUAGAGGUGGGCGGAACUGAUGGUGGAGCGGUGAAAUGCGCAGAUAUCGGGAGGAACAUCAGUAGCGAAGGCGGUUCUCUGGGCCGGUACUGACGCUGAGGAGCGAAAGCGUGGGUAGCGAACAGG